CAGCCCAUUAGCUAGCUCGCACCCUAAAAUACAACUAAUCACUAUUGGUAACCCCUAACUAACCUCAAACACCUAAGCCAAACCAUUUUUCCCCCUUAGUAUGGGCGACAGAAAAGGACACGCCGAAGCAAUAAUUACAGUACCGUAAGGGAACGCUGAAAGAGAAAUGAAAUAAACCAGUAAAGCUUAAGAAAGCAGAGCUAAGCCCUCGUACCUUUUGCAUCAUGAUUUAGCAAGAAAAAAUCAAGCAAAAAGGCAUUUUAGUUUGAUACCCCGAAACCAAGUGAGCUACUCCAAGACAGCCUAUAAGGGCACACCCGUCUCUGUGGCAAAAGAGUGGGAAGAUCUUUGAGUAGGGGUGACAGACCUACCGAACUUGGUUAUAGCUGGUUGCUCAAGAAAUGAAUAGGAGUUCAGCCUUUUGUCGUCUCUCAGCACAAACCGCUUUUUACCAAAGCACCAAAGUAAGACAAAAGAGUUAGUCAGAGGGGGUACAGCCCCUUUGAAAAAGAUACAACUUUACCAGCAGGGUUAAGAUCACAACUCUUGUUAAGGGAAAGUGUUCUAGUUGGCCUAAGAGCAGCCAUCCGUCCAGAAAGCGUUAAAGCUCAGACACCCUCCCCACCCCUAUUAUCCAGACCACUUAAUCUUACCCCCCUAAACAUACUGAGCCCUUCCAUAUCCCUAUGGAAGAGAUUAUGCUAAUAUGAGUAAUAAGAGAUUUUGAACCUCUCCUUGCACAAGUGUACAUCGGAACGAACUAACACCGAGAAUUAACGUCCCCAAUAAAAGAGGGCACUGAAACAUAAUAAUAGAAUUACUAGAAGACCAUCCACCCCCCGACCGUUAACCUUACACCAGAGUGCAUAUUAAAGGAAAGACUAAAAGAAAAAGAAGGAACUCGGCA
rnacentral:rRNA from 1 species